rnacentral:rRNA from 1 species
CCCUUAGAUGUUCUGGGCCGCACGCGCGCUACACUGAUGCAUUCAACGAGCCUAGCCUUGACCGAGGGGUCCGGGUAAUCUUUGAAACUGCAUCGUGAUGGGGCUAGAUUAUUGCAAUUAUUAAUCUUCAACGAGGAAUGCCUAGUAAGCGUGAUUCAUCAAAUCGCGUUGAUUACGUCCCUGCCCUUUGUACACACCGCCCGUCGCUCCUACCGAUUGAGUGUGUUGGUGAGGAGUUUGGAUUGGCCUCGGAAGGUGGUUCGCCACCGUCCGUAGCUGAGAAGUUCUCCAAACCGCCCCACUUAGAGGAAGGAGAAGUCGUAACA